ensembl:lncRNA
CUAACUUUAAAAUAAUAUACUUUUAAGAUAGAUACCUUUUUGUUACCAUCUCUGCUGCAGUCACGUGUACCUGUGCCAACACUGUUGCUAGCUCGGGUUAGCUCCAAGGAAGAUCACUGAAAUAACCUGCAUUAAAAAGAAAUGAAAACGAGAGGUUGACCACACCAUCCAAGUGAUCUUUUCCAAGAUUCUUCAGACAGGGGAGGAGACAAGUUAACUUGCUUGGCCACAAAGACAGCAGAACUAUGAGGCAUUCAAAGCUUGUGUUUUAUCCACUUUCAGUACAGCGACAUGGAAAUGCUAGUGUGAGCCUUAAUAGUCUUUUAAAAACAAGAGCAAGAGAUGGAAUCAGGAGCACUAAAUACUGAGCUGAAAAGUAGGAUUAAUUAUUCUUAGUACGGAUUGUAUACUCCAGAUCCAUACCCAGGACCCAACCAGGCAGUCUGCCUCUGCAGAAGAAAGAAACAAACAGAAAAAGGAAUUCUUUCCUCUGGCUCCGUGGUUUUGUAUUCAUGUCUCCUGUGUACCCUACCUCAGCGCAUGGCAGCCAUGCGGGAUGUCUUUCUGGUGUCCUACCUGCAGAGGUGGGCAGGACCCCUUGCCAUCCUGACUUCUCCCUCAGUCCCAGCUGAGGAAACAUAGAAACAUGUACAGCAUAUGCUCGUUGACUGCCUUGCAGAGUGCUUCUUCUGGAAUUAUGGAAAAGGCACAGAAGGAAAAUAGUGCAUCUAACAAAGCGCUCGUGUGAUGCAGCUGUAUCCGUUCUUAAUCUUCCAUUAAUGCCUCAUCGUAAGAGUACUGUACUUUCCGUUUGUUUCAUUUACCAAAGGUCAGCAUACUCGGAAGCUAUUGUCAUAG